AAAUGAAUAGACGGGGGCCCGCACAAGCAGUGGAGUAUGUGGUUUAAUUCGAAGCAACGCGAAGAACCUUACCAGGGCUUGACAUCCCUCGAAGAGUUAAGAAAUUAACUUGUCCUACGGGACGAGGAGACAGGUGGUGCAUGGUUGUCGUCAGCUCGUGUCGUGAGAUGUUGGGUUAAGUCCCGCAACGAGCGCAACCCCUGUUGUUAGUUGCCAUCAUUAAGUUGGGCACUCUAGCGAGACUGCCGGUGACAAAUCGGAGGAAGGUGGGGACGACGUCAAAUCAUCAUGCCCCUUAUGUCCUGGGCUACACACGUACUACAAUGGCCACUACAGAGGGAAGCGAAGCUGUAAAGUGGAGCCAAUCCCCCAAAAGUGGUCCCAGUUCGGAUUGUGGGCUGCAACUCGCCCACAUGAAGUCGGAAUUGCUAGUAAUGGCAGGUCAGCAUACUGCCGUGAAUACGUUCCCGGGCCUUGUACACACCGCCCGU
rnacentral:rRNA from 1 species